rnacentral:rRNA from 1 species
UACGAAGGGGGCUAGCGUUGUUCGGAAUUACUGGGCGUAAAGGGCGCGUAGGCGGUGUGUCAAGUCAGGCGUGAAAUCCCCGGGCUCAACCUGGGAACUGCAUCCGAGACUGCAUUGCUAGAGUAUGGGAGAGGGAAGCGGAAUUUCUGGUGUAGCAGUGAAAUGCGUAGAUAUCAGAAGGAACAUCAGUGGCGAAGGCGGCUUCCUGGACCAAUACUGACGAUCAGGUGCGAAAGCGUGGGGAGCAAACAGG